rnacentral:rRNA from 1 species
GACGAACGCUGGCGGCGUGCUUAACACAUGCAAGUCGAACGGUAAGGCCCUUCGGGGUACACGAGUGGCGAACGGGUGAGUAACACGUGGGUGAUCUGCCCUGCACUUCGGGAUAAGCCUGGGAAACUGGGUCUAAUACCGGAUAGGACCACUGCCUGCAUGGGUGGUGGUGGAAAGCUUUUGCGGUGUGGGAUGGGCCCGCGGCCUAUCAGCUUGUUGGUGGGGUGAUGGCCUACCAAGGCGACGACGGGUAGCCGGCCUGAGAGGGUGACCGGCCACACUGGGACUGAGAGACGGCCCAGACUCCUACGGGAGGCAGCAGUGGGGAAUAUUGCACAAGGGGCGCAAGCCUGAUGCAGCGACGCCGCGUGAGGGAUGACGGCCUUCGGGUUGUAAACCUCUUUCAGCACCGACGAAGCGCAAGUGACGGUAGGUGCAGAAGAAGGACCGGCCAACUACGUGCCAGCCGCCGCAGUAA